rnacentral:rRNA from 1 species
GUGCUAAGGUAGCAUAAUCAAUUGUUUCUUAAUUGGUAACUGGAAUGAAAGGUUUAACUAUUAUAUUUAGUUUGUUGAGUUAAAUAGGAGUUUAAAGUCAAGGUAAUAAUUCUUUGAUUUUCUAGGGGACGAUAAGACCCUAGAAGCUUAAUAAAUUGAAUACAUAUUAGCUAUAAGGUUAAAUUUAUUUUACUGGGGCGGUGACAGUAAAUAAACUACUGUAAAUUUAAUAGAUCCUUAUAAUAAAGAUAUAAUGGUUAAGUUACUCUAGGGUUAACAGUGUAAUAUACUUGGAGAGAUCUUAUUGAUAAGUAUGAUUACCACCUCGAUGUUGAAUUAAGAAUUCUUAAUGGUGCAGUAAUCAUAGUAGAAGGUUUGUUCAAC